AACUAGCAGGGCCUUCCUGCCGGGCCUCUCUUAAAUGCCCCUUGGGGUUAGCCUUUUGUCCUGAGUCCAAGGUUAUUCGGCAAUUUUUCCUCACAGGCAAGAGGCACGGAAGGCACCACGCAGCCUUCCCAGGGGCUCACAAUUUUGAACAGAAAAUAUUAGGUUGGUGCAAAAGUAAUCGAUUACAUUUGCACCAACCUAGUAAUACAAGGCACACAUCUCUUCAGGGCAGUUCUCAUUAUAUUUGAGUUUAUUCAUGUGGCCAAAUGAUGAGCCAAGAAAGGAGGGAUCAGUGUCAUUUCUCAAAGGCUGCCGGAAGGAGGAUGCUGCCUCGACAGGAAUCUUUUUAUAUAAUUGAUACCAAGGCAUUACAUGUUAAGAACUGUCAAUAACAGUUGAAUAUAAAUUCUCCUGGAGGAGAGUGGAGAAUUCCUAUUUAUUUCCUCAACCAGGAGCAGCUGAGUCCUGUCAUCUGACCGGGUGGCUCCCUGCAUUCCCUGAUGGGAGCCCAGCUAAGCUAAGGGAAAAACACCCCUGGCAUCCACACGAUGGCCAUCCAGAGCAUCACUUCCUGCAACCCCGACCUCCAGAAGGUUCUCUUUGGCCACAUGCUACUGUCCGGAGGGACGGGCUCCUGCC
rnacentral:lncRNA from 1 species